rnacentral:piRNA from 1 species
GACAUAAAAUGUAAACGGAACGCUGGCC